AAGAGCAAGAUAAAAAUCUGUCUCAUUUACAGCUCUGCUCAGACUGAUCAUCAUCUCCUGGAGCUGAAACUGCAGCCAUGACCAUCCGUCCUCGUUCUCUCCUUCUGGGUCUGCUGGUCAUCCUCUACCUUCAGUCCUGUGCAGUGGGACAAAAUGUAAAAGCACCAAAAGAAUGCUGUUUCAGUUCCUAUACCAGACCAAUCCCUGUAGCUGUUAUUACUGAGUAUGAAAAAACGAACCAUGACUGUACAAGAGCUGGAGUGGUUUUUACCACCAUGAAGGGGUAUCGUGUGUGUGUGGACCCCAGCUUUAGGUGGGUGAAGCGAGCCAUGAACAUAAUCGAUCGUCGAAUUGUGGAAAGUCCAACCUGAACUCCGCAGAGUGAUUACAUCUCCUCUUUAUUAAUGGGAAAAUAACUGCUUCCCGCUUUCCUGCUCUUUAUGACUACAGCAGUGUGCUCGUCUCUGGGUGAAGGAAUACUGCUUUUCUGUUUUUAGUAAGUCAUUUUUGUAUAUUCGGUACGGACUGGAGAAAUGUGACUUUAUGUAAGGCAGACUGAAAUACAUGAGAAUAAUGUCAUCAAUGUGUUUUUUUUUUAUAGUACAUUUUAUAUUAGAUGCUUUUUUCAAUAUUUGAGUAAUUUGGGGUCAACAAGAAAGCAUUAAAUGAUUAAUAAUAUACUGUAAUUCUGUGCUUAGUUAUUUUUGUCAUGUGCUGCAAAGAUUUGAAUAUCAUUUUUUAAAGAUGAAGCACUCGAUGUUCUACAGACUUUGUCAUUUUAGAAUCCACAGCUCUGUUCAUCAUUCUGGACACGUCUAACAUUUCUUCUUUUUUAUUUGCAGUUUCUAUUUAAUGAUUUGGAAUCUACAAAACUGUAAAAUAUUAUCAUGUUUUCUUAACUCUUAUGUGAGCAAGAGUUUCUGUCUUGUCACUUUUUUCUGUAAUAAAAUAGU